AUAUAAUAUAUUUAAAAAUUAAAUAAAAAAAAAAAGAAAUGGGAGGGAAGUGAAAAUAUUAUUAGUAUGUCGAUCUAAUGACUAGAUUAUAACUUCGAUCUAACUACACAUUUAGCCAUUGAUACGAUUUAUAUAGAUUUGUACAUUGCCUAAAAUUUUAUUUUCUUACUUCCUUUUAGAUUGUUUUUCUCUUUACACUACUUUUUAUUACAUUUUUAAUAUGAAUAUUCACAUAUUUCUCUUACUACAUUUCCGUUAUUAUUU